CCUACGGGAGACAGCAGUGGGGAAUAUUGCACAAUGGGGGAAACCCUGAUGCAGCGACGCCGCGUGAGUGAAGAAGUAUCUCGGUACGUAAAGCUCUAUCAGCAGGGAAGAAAAUGACGGUACCUGACUAAGAAGCCCCGGCCAACUACGUGCCAGCAGCCGCGGUAAUACGUAGGGGGCAAGCGUUAUCCGGAUUUACUGGGUGAAAAGGGAGCGGAGACGGAAGCACAAGUCUGGAGUGAAAUCCCGGGGCUUAACCCCGGACCUGCUUUGGAAACUGUGCGGCUGGAGUGCAGGAGGGGUAAGCGGAAUUCCUAGUGUAGCGGUGAAAUGCGUAGAUAUAAGGAGGAACACCGGUGGCGAAGGCGGCUUACUGGACUGUAACUGACGUUGAGGCUCGAAAGCGUGGGGAGCAAACAGGAUUAGAUACCCUUGUAGUC
rnacentral:rRNA from 1 species